UGGGGGAUAUUGCACAAUGGGGGAAACCCUGAUGCAGCGACGCCGCGUGGAGGAAGAAGGUUUUCGGAUUGUAAACUCCUGUCGUUAGGGACGAUAAUGACGGUACCUAACAAGAAAGCACCGGCUAACUACGUGCCAGCAGCCGCGGUAAAACGUAGGGUGCAAGCGUUGUCCGGAAUUACUGGGUGUAAAGGGAGCGCAGGCGGACCGGCAAGUUGGAAGUGAAAUCCAUGGGCUCAACCCGUGAAUUGCGUUCAAAACUGCUGGCCUUGAGUAGUGCAGAGGUAGGUGGAAUUCCCGGUGUAGCGGUGGAAUGCGUAGAUAUCGGGAGGAACACCAGUGGCGAAGGCGACCUACUGGGCACCAACUGACGCUGAGGCUCGAAAGCAUGGGUAGCAAACA
rnacentral:rRNA from 1 species